UUCGCCCUUAGAGUUUGAUCCUGGCUCAGGGCGAACGCUGGCGGCGUGCCUAACACAUGCAAGUCGUGGGAGAAAGCCUCCUUCGGGAGGUGAGUACACCGGCGGAUGGGUGCGUAACACGUGAGCAACCUGCCUGGCAGAGGGGGAUAACUCGGGGAAACCCGGGCUAAUACCCCAUAACGUGUCUUCUUCGCAUGGAGAGGUCACCAAAGGGGGCGAUCCUUCGGGAGCUCUCACUGUCAGAUGGGCUCGCGGCUUAUCAGCUUGUUGGUGAGGUAACGGCUCACCAAGGCUAUGACGGGUAGCUGGUCUUAGCGGAUGAUCAGCCACACGGGGACUGAGACACGGCCCCGACUCCUACGGGAGGCAGCAGUGGGGAAUUUUGGACAAUGGGCGAAAGCCUGAUCCAGCGACGCCGCGUGCGGGAGGAAGCCCUUCGGGGUGUAAACCGCUGUCAGGGGGGAAGAACCGGUCCGGGCGAAUAGCCCGGAAAACUGACGGUACCCCCAGAGGAAGCGCCGGCUAACUCCGUGCCAGCAGCCGCGGUAAUACGGAGGGCGCAAGCGUUGUCCGGAAUUACUGGGCGUAAAGGGGGCGCAGGUGGCUUGGUAAGUCCUAUGUGAAAGCCCGCGGCUCAACCGCGGAAUGCCAUAGGAUACUGCCGAGCUUGAGACGGGUAGAGGCGAGUGGAAUUCCCGGUGUAGCGGUGGAAUGCGUAGAUAUCGGGAAGAACACCAGUGGCGAA
rnacentral:rRNA from 1 species